rnacentral:rRNA from 1 species
AUUGAACGCUGGCGGCAGGCCUAACACAUGCAAGUCGAGCGAGCGGCGGACGGGUGAGUAAUGUCUGGGAAACUGCCUGUUGGAGGGGGAUAACUACUGGAAACGGUAGCUAAUACUGCCUACCAUCAGAUGUGCCCAGAUGGGAUUAGCUAGUAGGUGGGGUAACGGCUCACCUAGGCGACGAUCCCUAGCUGGUCUGAGAGGAUGACCAGCCACACUGGAACUGAGACACGGUCCAGACUCCUACGGGAGGCAGCAGUGGGGAAUAUUGCACAAUGGGCGCAAGCCUGAUGCAGCCAUGCCGCGUGUAUGAAGAAGGCCUUCGGGUUGUAAAGUACUUUCAGCGGGGAGGCGUUACCCGCAGAAGAAGCACCGGCUAACUCCGUGCCAGCAGCCGCGGUAAUUC